UGCGAGUGCUUCUGGAUUAUUGCACUCUCUGUGGGGAUUCCCUUGAUUUUUAAGCUUCAGUCAGUGCAGAAUGCUGCAGCACAGUUGUCACAGAUCUCAGAGAUCUUGCACUAGUUGCCUGUUUGCUACUGGUCUGGGCCAAGAUCAAGGUGUUACUUUUGGUAUAUAAAGCUCUUAAUAGAUUGGGAACAAUAUACUUUCAGUAAUACCUUACCCCAUAAAUGUUGGCUCAACUACUUUAAUCUGUGGUACUGGAACUGUACAGGUGUUUUGCAUAAUACUCGGUCCACCUUGGUAAGCUCUCAAUCUUCUGUAUGGGAACACCUACAUUUUGGAACUCCCAAAAUUGAUAUCAGGCAGUCAUCUUCACUGUAAUCUUUACAUGCCCAAUUUAAACUUUUGUUUAGUCUACCCACACAUGUAGAAGUUAUAUGGUAGCUAUUGUUGAUUUUAAUCAUAUGUUUAAUACCUGCUUUUAAUUCUCUUCCUCCACCAAUGAUUUAAUGGUUUAAUAUGUAUUGUAAACUGCUCACCAACACAUUCAGUCUUUCAGUAUUGAGCGAAGCAAUAUGAAUCCCUAUACUUCAUUUGCAUACACUUUCAGAUCUUUAACCAGGCCUUUUUGGCUGAGUGACAACUUUUAAAAUGUGCUGGGGAGCAUAGCUGUCAAGUUCUCCCUUUUUUGAAGGGAAAUUCCCUUACGCUGAAUAGGCUUAUUCGCGAGAGAAGGGAAAACUUGACAGCUAUGCUGGGGAGUGGUUUCAUUGACUUGUUUCUUGUUUUUACUUUUAAUUACACAUUCCGUUGGUUUGUAUACAGUGUUGUGAUUUUAUAUUGCAACCGCCCCGAGACCUGCACGGCAUAGGGCAGUAUACAAAGAGGAUUGAGAAUAACAAUGUGCUUGUUUCCAACAUAAUUGUAAAAAGUAUUUUUUAAACUGUAAAACACAUCGAUUUCAAAAGCCUCUGGGAGCGAGUUCUAACGCGAUUUCCAAUGGAACCCAAAACGUGCCAAUUAAGAAGAGGGGGCGGGUAGGCUUUGCCUCCGCAGCGCCCGACGCCUCGGGCACCAUAGUAACCUCUCCUUAGGCCGGGGGCCGGGAGAGGGCGACGUGCCAGGCUCCACGCAGGCCUCUCUACUCGCGCCCCUCGGAGGCCGCUCCGGCGGCUGGGCCCUCCCUCCGCCUCGCCUCGCCCGUUGUCGUCGCUCCUGUUCCUGCUGCUCGGCCUGGCGGGGCGGGACCUCACGAAGCGGGCGGCUGGGCUGCGGUGCUGGCGGUGGAUGUACAGUAAUCCAGAUGAAUCUUUUCCACUUUACCACGAGAAGGCUGGUUUCUCAAGUAUAUUGUGGACUGAAACCUGCUUCUUCCAAGAAACAAAGGACUUGCUUUGAAAUGGCCCGACCCAGUUCAAGUAUGGCUGAUUUUCGAGAAGUAUUUGCUAAAGCAAAGCAUAUAGCUAUUAUUACGGGGGCUGGUGUCAGUGCCGAGAGUGGUGUUCCGACCUUCCGAGGUGCAGGGGGCUACUGGAGGAAAUGGCAAGCUCAGGAACUGGCUACUCCAGAGGCUUUUGCAAGGAAUCCCUCUAGGGUGUGGGAAUUCUACCAUUACCGUAGAGAGCUUAUGAUGAGUAAACAUCCAAACCCCGCACACACUGCCAUAGCAGAGUGUGAGGCCAGGCUUAGCAAGCAAGGAAGGAGUGUUGUGGUCAUCACGCAGAACAUUGAUGAGCUCCACAGAAAAGCAGGAACAAAGCACCUCUUAGAAAUUCAUGGUAGCUUAUUCAAAACCCGAUGCACCAGUUGUGGAACUGUGACAGCAAAUCACAAGAGUCCAAUCUGUCCUGCUUUGGAUGGGAAAGGUGCUCCAGAUCCAGAUGCUGAAGACAGCCGGAUUCCUGUAGAAGAUCUUCCUCGGUGUGAAGAAUGCAAUGGCCUCUUGCGCCCUCACGUUGUAUGGUUCGGAGAAACUUUGGAUUCUGAUAUUCUUACAGAGGUUGAAAAAGAACUUGAGAUUUGUGAUCUUUGUUUGGUGGUUGGAACGUCCUCUAUAGUAUAUCCUGCUGCUAUGUUUGCUCCCCAGGUAUCUGCCAGAGGAGUGGCAGUUGCAGAAUUCAACAUGCAAAGCACCCCAGCCACAGAUAGGUUCAGGUUUCAUUUCCCAGGUCCCUGUGGUACCACACUACCCCCAGCACUUGCACGCCAUGAAACUGAGAUAAUCUCAUGAACAUUUAUCAGCAACACAGAGGAAAAAAUCCAGCUGCUCAUUCAGCAGGAUGCAAGCAUAAGAGGAAUGUGGGACUUGUAGAAAACAUCAUGCCUGCAAGUGAGCAGUAGGAUCUAAGGGUGACACUGAAGAAAAUAGAUCAUGAUUUUCCAGUUGGUUACAAGAAUGAGCAAAGCAAAAGAUUUGUCAUGGUCAAGGACACUGGAUAAGCAGUUACAUUUUUGUUAGACAAAAACCAUUUAUGUGAAAUGAGAGCAUAAAAAUGCCAACAGUUCAAAAGAAGACAUUUGUGCCCUGAAAUAUUAGGCUACAUAUUUGGCAAAUCAUAAUGGGAGGGACUUCAUCAUGACCUUACACUUCUUUGUGACUACACAAAAUAAUUUUAUAAACCAACUGUAAAAUUCUGAGAAAGGUGAGAAUAAGCAAAUGGGGCAAAUGACAGCUUUUCAUAUAGCCUACACUCUAGUUUUUGUAGGAAAAUGGUAAACAAGGUGGUCUUUUCAUGAAGCAGUGCAAUCCUCUAAAAAGGUUUACUUCCAGGAUGGUGUACAUUUCUUUGUGGUGAUCAGUAUGAGAAAACAAUUAAAGGAACAUAGGUAGCAGCAUCCAUGUGCAAAGUAUACAUGCUUAAUUUCUUCUCGCUCUUGGACUUGUAUGAAUGUAUUUGUGGGUUUAUUAGUCUUUUACUUGUUUUGUCUACUGUUCUAAGUCACUAAGAUAAGAUAAACCAAUGCUUUGUCUAUUUUGUUCCAAAGCAGUUUUCCUAUCAAAAUAUUAAUAGGUAUUAGCAGAUUUCAUGAUAUAAUUAGUGCUGCAGUAGAUACCGCACUAACCAUGUUUACACUUCCUCUCAACUAUGAUAAAACCUCAGUAACUGGGAAAUGGAAUAGGGCUCAAUGUUGAGUUACUGUGAAACAGAACUUCCAACUUGUGGUAUAAUAUGGUUCUGCAGUUUCCUUUUUAUAAUUUAAUAUUAAUAUAUACUAUAUAGAAUAAUUUUGGAGUAAUCAGUGUGCUUCACAUAACAUCCAUUAAUUGUAAGAGGCUUUCUCAUGAGCAAAGUUUCUGGAGCUGCAAGGAAUAUGAGCUCUCUCAAAAUUUGAAGUCAGUUUAAGCCAAUAUCCCCCACCCCCAUAAACAAAUGGCCUAGAAGGGGAAGCCAGUAGGGCUUAUCCUGGCACCAUUUGGCAGAAUGAGACAGGAGUAUAGCUUUGCACACAGUGCAUUCAUGCCAGUUUGGUGCUCAAAGAUGUGCACCACCCUCAAUCUUAGAACAAUCAUGUUGAAGAAAUUUGAGAUGGCAGCUUCUUGCAGCGAAAGCUAUAGAAGGGCACUGGCGCCUUUUAAAAACUUAACAAUUUGGGCAGCAUUCUACAUGGUUAUAUGGGAACAAACACUGGAAUUUACAUUUGGGUAAACAUGGAUUGGCUUGUGUUGUUCUAGUAUGUAUAUGCUUUUGCCACGUGUUUCUUUGGGCUAGUGCCUAUAAGCACAGUUGCAUUCUGGAUAUUGGAAUCUUUGGUAGUGGAUCAGAAAUGGAGUGGUUUCUGCUGCACAGACGCCUUAUGCCCUACCAAUGCGAGGGGAAAUUAUGUAUGUGAUUUGUACUGUUCUUUCACAAAAUAAAAUAAAAUAUGUAUUAAUCUGAAAACAGAAUUACUGGUACUGUAUCUAAUUGACAGAAUCCCUUGGCUGCUGCGUAAGGAACUUAGACUGCCCCUUUCGCCUCUUCCUGCAUUUUCCCUGUCCAGAGGCUUAAUUUCAAGCUUUAAGUGUAGAUGUGACUGGACACCAGGGUGUCCAUCCAGAAGCAUGAAGUGGCAACAAAUAUCACUUUCUAUUUGGGUCCUGUUGUGUGGGCAUGUGUGCUGGGUUUGGACAUUUGCUGUAACAAUCCCGAUGCAAACUGUUAAGUACAGGGGGAAGCUUGUGCUGAGGGGGGAUUAUGUUUGCUUCGCUGUGCAAACUCAGCCUUAAUGUUGCAAAUUAAAGAGUCGAGACUAGUUUGCUUUACUUAUAAAAUCCUCAGUGCAAACCUUCCUCAAGCUGCAGCAAAACCCGCCCCGAUCCAGUAACUGACUGCAGCAACGUUGCAACUGUCGCGGUUUAAAAAAUCACGUUUCCACAAUAAAUAAGAGCCAAGUUGGAAAGAGCAAGAGAGAUAUUACUGUGUUGCCAUCCCUUGAGGGUCAGUGAGGGAAGAACAACAUCCCUGCUAAUCGACUUAUUUUGGCUUCGACUCCAACGCCCUCGGAACCUCGCUGCUCGGCCAACGACGCCUGCCCGGAAGCUUAUUUUAGCGCGCCGAGUCCUCUCUAGCAAGUCCCCGCUCCGCAAGGCUGCUUCCGGGUCACGGGACGAAGGGUCAGCCGGAAGUUCGAGGAGUGGAGAAAGAUGGUAACGCGGAGGACUCGCGCGAUGGUUAGGAAAAGAGUUGAGGCGGAGGCCGCCGCCGCCGCCGCCGCUUCCUCAGAAGAGGACGAGGAGAGUGACGAGGCUCCCGAGGAGAGAAAAGGCUACCUUAAAAGAAAAGAGACGACGGAAAGAAGAACUAUUUAAGGAACAAAAG